rnacentral:rRNA from 1 species
AGAACGAACGCUGGCGGCAGGCUUAACACAUGCAAGUCGAACGCUCGUAGCAAUACGGGAGUGGCAGACGGGUGAGUAACGCGUGGGAACAUACCCUCCGGUUCGGAAUAGCUCAGGGAAACUUGGAUUAAUACCGGAUACGGCUGAGAGGCGAAAGAUUUAUCGCCGGAGGAUUGGCCCGCGUUCGAUUAGCUUGUUGGUGAGGUAACGGCUCACCAAGGCGAUGAUCGAUAGCUGGUCUGAGAGGAUGAUCAGCCACAUUGGGACUGAGACACGGCCCAAACUCCUACGGGAGGCAGCAGUGGGAAUAUUGGACAAUGGGCGCAAGCCUGAUCCAGCCAUGCCGCGUGAGUGAUGACGGCCUUAGGGUUGUAAAGCUCUUUCGCUCGGGACGAUAAUGACGGUACCGAGAUAAGAACGCCCCGGCUAACUUCGUGCCAGCAGCCGC